CGUGGGCAACCUGCCUGUAAGACUGGGAUAACUUCCGGAAACCGGAGCUAAUACCGGAUACGUUCUUUCCUCGCAUGAGGAAAGAUGGAAAGACGGUUUCGGCUGUCACUUACAGAUGGGCCCGCGGCGCAUUAGCUAGUUGGUGAGGUAAUGGCUCACCAAGGCCACGAUGCGUAGCCGACCUGAGAGGGUGAUCGGCCACACUGGGACUGAGACACGGCCCAGACUCCUACGGGAGGCAGCAGUAGGGAAUCUUCCGCAAUGGACGAAAGUCUGACGGAGCAACGCCGCGUGAGCGAAGAAGGCCUUCGGGUCGUAAAGCUCUGUUGUUAGGGAAGAACAAGUGCCAGAGUAACUGCUGGCACCUUGACGGUACCUAACCAGAAAGCCACGGCUAACUACGUGCCAGCAGCCGCGGUAAUACGUAGGUGGCAAGCGUUGUCCGGAAUUAUUGGGCGUAAAGCGCGCGCAGGUGGUUCCUUAAGUCUGAUGUGAAAGCCCACGGCUCAACCGUGGAGGGUCAUUGGAAACUGGGGGACUUGAGUGCAGAAGAGGAAAGUGGAAUUCCAAGUGUAGCGGUGAAAUGCGUAGAGAUUUGGAGGAACACCAGUGGCGAAGGCGACUUUCUGGUCUGUAACUGACACUGAGGCGCGAAAGCGUGGGGAGCGAACAGGAUUAGAUACCCUGGUAGUCCACGCCGUAA
rnacentral:rRNA from 1 species